rnacentral:lncRNA from 1 species
UGUGGGGGGUCUUGGGGAAUCAGUGGGAAACAGACCCCUUGGGGAGCAAGUUCUGGAUGUCUUGAGGAGUCAGCAUGUUGGAGACAAUGGACUCCCAAUCAAGGACAGGCUCUAUGGGUGCUGGGGAGUCAUCAGGGGAGAGAAAUAAAGAGGGGCAGAGUCUACAAGCCCCUAGGAAGUAAAUAGUAGUUGAGAUACAGAGAUCUUUAAGGAGGAGGUAGCCCCCUGCAGAGGGGAAGAGCAUGAGGGUUAUAGGAGGAUGAGCAGAGGGUAGGUACGUGCAAUUUUAUAGAGGGAAAUUGUCUGUCUCUGGAGUUAGUGUGAUGGAGGCCCAGUGCCCCUUUGUCAGUGGGAAGUUGUGAAUGGGCUGGCAAGUUAGGAGAUCUAGAGGUUUGGAGCAGAGCCUGAGGAGACCUUGGGAAGUCAAUGUGGGGAGAAACAGACACACUGGGGAAGGGCCUGCUAUAUGGGCCUACUAUGUGCAGGCCCUGUGCUAAGUGCUUUAUGCUAUCUCAUUUGAUUCUCACAAUUAUCUUCAUGUUUUUACACAUGAGUAAAUUGAGGCAGACAGAUGAAAUAACUUGUCUGGGGUAACUCAACUAGUAAAUGUCUAAGGCAGGGGGAGGAAGAGUGAGAACCCUGUGUAGGGGAUAGCUUUGGGGGAGACUAGGGAUUUGGUGAGGGACACAGAACUUUUGUGGUGGACGAUGUGGGCAACUUAAGAGUUAUUGAGGGGAGACCCAGACGAAUGGCCAGCUGCUGUGGGAGUCUGGAGGGUCCCUAUGGAGAAGAGUUUUGGAUUGUCUACGCCAUGCAUCUCUGGUCACGACAUGGAGAAUGUGGAACUACACCACUGCUCAGAGGACCUGAGAUCUCAGCGGAAUGGAGGACUCCCAACGGACAGACAACUUUAGGAGAUGUAUCGUGGGGAAUAAAAAAGAAUUCAUGUGUUCUUCUAAGGGUGGACAUCCAUCCUACCCCGCAUCAGGAAUGAAAGCCUCUUUAGGCCUGCAGAAUAAGACCUAAAGGAUGUUUGGUUAACACCACAGGCCCAGUGAGUUAGGAGA